UAGACAAUAAGUCAAGCCUGGACUGAGAGG
rnacentral:piRNA from 1 species